CUACACAUGCAGUCGAGCGGCAGCGGGAAAGUAGCUUGCUACUUUUGCCGGCGAGCGGCGGACGGGUGAGUAAUGCCUGGGAAAUUGCCCAGUCGAGGGGGAUAACAGUUGGAAACGACUGCUAAUACCGCAUACGCCCUACGGGGGAAAGCAGGGGACCUUCGGGCCUUGCGCGAUUGGAUAUGCCCAGGUGGGAUUAGCUAGUUGGUGAGGUAAUGGCUCACCAAGGCGACGAUCCCUAGCUGGUCUGAGAGGAUGAUCAGCCACACUGGAACUGAGACACGGUCCAGACUCCUACGGGAGGCAGCAGUGGGGAAUAUUGCACAAUGGGGGAAACCCUGAUGCAGCCAUGCCGCGUGUGUGAAGAAGGCCUUCGGGUUGUAAAGCACUUUCAGCGAGGAGGAAAGGUCAGUAGCUAAUAUCUGCUGACUGUGACGUUACUCGCAGAAGAAGCACCGGCUAACUCCGUGCCA
rnacentral:rRNA from 1 species